rnacentral:rRNA from 1 species
AAAUGAAUUGACGGGGGCCCGCACAAGCGGAGGAACAUGUGGUUUAAUUCGAUGAUACGCGAGGAACCUUACCCGGGCUUAAAUUGCAGAUGAAUUACGGUGAAAGCCGUAAGCCGCAAGGCAUCUGUGAAGGUGCUGCAUGGUUGUCGUCAGCUCGUGCCGUGAGGUGUCGGCUUAAGUGCCAUAACGAGCGCAACCCUUGUUGUCAGUUACUAACAGGUUCCGCUGAGGACUCUGACAAGACUGCCAUCGUAAGAUGUGAGGAAGGUGGGGAUGACGUCAAAUCAGCACGGCCCUUACGUCCGGGGCUACACACGUGUUACAAUGGGGGGUACAGAGGGCCGCUACCACGCGAGUGGAUGCCAAUCCCCAAAACCUCUCUCAGUUCGGACUGGAGUCUGCAACCCGACUCCACGAAGCUGGAUUCGCUAGUAAUCGCGCAUCAGCCACGGCGCGGUGAAUACGUUCCCGGGCCUUGUACACACCGCCCGU